UGUGUGAAUAUGUAUGUAUGUAUGUACAUGUCUGUUUAUGAACAUACAUAUUCAUACACACAUGCAAGCACAUGCACACAUGAAUGGCAAACAC
rnacentral:miRNA from 14 species